CAGCAGCCACGGGAAUACGGAGGGUGCAAGCGUUAAUCGGAAUUACUGGGCGUAAAGCGUGCGUAGGCGGUUCGUUAAGUCUGUUGUGAAAGCCCCGGGCUCAACCUGGGAAUGGCAAUGGAUACUGGCGAGCUAGAGUGUGUCAGAGGAUGGUGGAAUUCCCGGUGUAGCGGUGAAAUGCGUAGAGAUCGGGAGGAACAUCAGUGGCGAAGGCGGCCAUCUGGGACAACACUGACGCUGAGGCACGAAAGCGUGGGGAGCAAACAGGAUUAGAUACCCGAGUAGUCCCUGUCUCUUAUAC
rnacentral:rRNA from 1 species